AUUUCAUACAUUUUCUCAUUUUUUUUUUUUCGGUUUUUCACAUUUGAUAAGAAAAUUCUUGAGAAAAUCGAAAAUUACUUCUUAAAAAGUACUUUUACGUUCAGAUUUACUUUCAGAAAACGUGUUAAACUUAAAAUCGGAGCAAAAUCUCUGGUAGAAAAGUUGUACGCAGAAAAAAAUUAAAAAUAUACAUCUUUGUAAAACCACAAGCUUCUUCGAUCCACUCAGAAUCUAAAACCAUACAUCAUAGAAAAAUCAAUAAAUCCUUCCCUACUCUUCGAAUCCAAAAAUUGAAAACAUUGUACAUUUCGUAAAUUUUCAAAUAAACAAAUCUCGCCUUGAAAAAUAUAACGGAUCUUAUUGCUGAAAAAAGAACAAUUUAAAAUGAAAUGUAAGUGGACUAUAAACAAUCCUUUAAUUACAAUAUCAUAAUAACAAAUGAUAUAUUAAAUAAUAAAUAUACAAAAGUAAAUAGGUAACGGUACUUACCUUAAAUAAGCUUUCAAAAAUCCAAAUUUUAAAACAUAUCUAAUUGUAAUUAAUAUUAUUUUAAGUUUUACCAAGAAUAAUUUAAUUUUUACGGAAAUAAUUUAUUAAUUCAAACAAGAAA